AUUGAACGCUGGCGGCGUGCCUUACACAUGCAAGUCGAACGGCAGCACGGGGCAACCUGGUGGCGAGUGGCGAACGGGUGAGUAAUGCAUCGGAACGUACCUUUGAGUGGGGGAUAACGUAGCGAAAGUUACGCUAAUACCGCAUAUUCUGUGAGCAAGAAAGCAGGGGAUCGCAAGACCUUGCGGUGAAUGAACGGCCGAUGGCAGAUUAGCUAGUUGGUGAGGUAAUGGCUCGCCAAGGCGACGAUCUGUAGCGGGUCUGAGAGGAUGAUCCGCCACACUGGAAGUGAGACACGGUCCAGACUCCUACGGGAAGCAGCAGUGGGGAAUUUUGGACAAUGGGGGAAACCCUGAUCCAGCCAUGCCGCGUGAGUGAAGAAGGCCUUCGGGUUGUAAGGCUCUUUCGGCCGGGAAGAAAUCGCACGGGCUAAUACCCUGUGUGGAUGACGGUACCGGAAUAAGAAGCACCGGCUAACUACGUGCCAGCCGCCGCAGUAACAC
rnacentral:rRNA from 1 species